AUAAAGUUCGAAUUUAGCUCCUUCUCGCCAACCCCAGUGCAACUCAUAAGUAAGAAGGAUACAACUACUAAUAAGAGUAAGAAGGAAACAAGCAUGACUUGAAACCCACAUAUUGUGCAGAAGACUUAGAAUUCCACUCAGUAGUAUAAGAAUGAAACCGAUACUAAUAAGAAGAAGACCGGUCCCUUUGUUUUAGUGACUGGACUCAGAGCCAAGCAACGACAUAAGACGUUGUGCGGCAGCCAUAGCCAUGAAAUAGUGAAGUUAUAUUUAGUUAGAACCGCCAAGACACUGGGCAAGUAACUACGUCAGUUACGCGGGCAGCUAUGAAUACUAUUGAUAUAGGAUUUGGAGGAUGAAACUCUACUGUCAUUGCAGCCCUUAACCGCACUGCUUCUUUCUGCUCGAGUCGACAACUAAGGUAAACAAUGACCUAUCCCCCUAUACAAGGAGCUAGAGCCAAGACUAUAAGUCCUUUCUCCACGACCGACGUAAACAACAGAGGAAACUACUGCUCUGAAAACGAAAACAGCUGACUAGGAAUAUGGCCCCGUAUCUAUACCCAGGCUAACGUAAGCUUACUUUUCUUCAGAUCAAGACUUGGAGCCAAGAACUGAUCUCACUGCUUAUGAUCCUGAUCUUUCAACUUGAACUACACUUCCUGUUAGCAUAGCACACUCUGUAAACUCCCAAUCUAUCUUCUCUGGCAACUGACACUUCUCCUCUUGCAACUAGCUACUAGCAACUACACUGGAAACUUUACCACUACACUACUAUAAGGGAUGGGCAUUUCUACUAGUUUGGGCUGGAAACCUUAACUACUCUACUGGUAUUCAACUAGCACCAGAACAGGACAACUACUUUACUUAAAGGAAGGGGCAAUAACCAUACUUUCACAGCUUACCAA
rnacentral:lncRNA from 1 species